rnacentral:rRNA from 1 species
ACGGGAGGCAGCAGUGGGGAAUAUUGCACAAUGGGGGAAACCCUGAUGCAGCGACGCCGCGUGAGUGAAGAAGUAUUUCGGUAUGUAAAGCUCUAUCAGCCGGGAAGAAAAUGACGGUACCUGACUAAGAAGCCCCGGCUAACUACGUGCCAGCAGCCGCGGUACUACGUAGGGGGCAAGCGUUAUCCGGAUUUACUGGGUGUAAAGGGAGCGUAGACGGCGAUGCAAGUCUGAUGUGAAGGGUGGGGGCUCAACCCCCAAACUGCAUUGGAAACUGUAAGACUCGAGUGCCGGAGAGGUAAGCGGAAUUCCUAGUGUAGCGGUGAAAUGCGUAGAUAUUAGGAGGAACACCAGUGGCGAAGGCGGCUUACUGGACGGUAACUGACGUUGAGGCUCGAAAGCGUGGGGAGCAAACAGGAUUAGAUACCCUGGUA